rnacentral:rRNA from 1 species
AACGAACGCUGGCGGCGCGUCUUAAACAUGCAAGUCGAACGAUCUGUAGCAAUACAGGGAGUGGCGGACGGGUGAGGAACACGUAGGAAUCUACCUAGAAGAGCGGGACAACCCUGGGAAACCGGGGCUAAUACCGCAUAGUACAGUGAUGUUAAAGGGCUAGCAAUAGUCGCUUCUAGAUGAGCCUGCGGUCUAUCAGCUUGUUGGCGGGGUAACGGCCCACCAAGGCGACGACGGAUAGCCGGUCUGAGAGGAUGAUCGGCCACACUGGCACUGAGACACGGGCCAGACUCCUACGGGAGGCAGCAGUUAAGAAUCUUGCGCAAUGGACGAAAGUCUGACGCAGCGACGCCGCGUGAAGGAUGAAGGCUUUCGGGUUGUAAACUUCGGUAGACUGGGAAGAAAAAGUAAGUUCGUUGAGGGCUUACAUUGACGGUACCAGUCUGAAGCCCCGGCUAAUUACGUGCCAGCAGCCGCCGUAA